AGCUUUGUUCCGGUCACUGCCGGAAGUGGGUGACGGGCGGGGUCGGUUGCCGUGGCAACGCGGGGCUGUUUACCAGCGGGGCUGGGCGAGGGCUGCCGGAUGGAGCGGCGCGGAGACGUUUAAUUUACUGAUCAUUUCCAUUUUACUGAGACAAGAGAGGAAGGCGGAGAAACAAGGUGUUAAAUAACACAUCACUGGCAAAAGGCCCAUGAGCAGCUGGUUUUCCAACGCUAGUUAAUUUGAUGAAUACGGUGGAACAUGAAUGUUGGCAUCCCCCUUGGAGUAACAGACGGUUUAUGCACUUGAGAAGAGACGUUGGAUUAUGAAGGUGUCUUGAGAAGCAAUGGCCACAGUAGCACCUCUGAACAUAGUACCAUCUGAAUGCAACACCACUUUGGGCACUGCAGAAGCUUUCAUUUGGCGGUCAGACACCAUCAAUAUGCAUGUCACCCGGCCGAAAUCUGCCAAGGGUCGCACAAGAUCAAGCUUGAAUUACUCCCAUAGUGUGGAGGCCUAUUCUUACAGAGUGCCAUCCUCCCCUCAGCCAGCAGUUCCCUAUGAAGCAGCAAGCAAUCAAAGAGCAUCAUCUACCAAACCAUCUUACCAACCAGGGCAGAUGUCUCCUGAUGAAAUCCCAGAGCUCCUCCAGCGAGUGCCCUUGAGGACCUCCUCCUCCCUGAAUAAGUACAGAGUGCUCCCGUCCAUCAGCAGGAAGGGCUUGGGGAAGAGUGCUGUGGAAACAGUGAUCGAACAGACCAACAAACUGAAAAUGAGUAGUAGACAGGAGGAGCAGCAACAAUCCAAAGCUCUUCCCAGAGAGUUAAAAUCCACUGGUGUAAUGACAGAGAAUGAAGGGGCUAGAGGGGAAUGCUCUAAAGUCCAGCCUCCCAUUUCUGAGAAGAAGCCUUUAAGGAAAACAAGAGAGGAAAGCUUGUCAUCCUCAGUUUUAAACUUGGAGGAGCCACUGAAGAAAGAACCAAGAUUGCUACUUGCCGUUAGGUCUCCUUCUGGUCAAAGAUUUGAACAUCACUUCAGGCCAACAGACAGCCUUCAGACAGUCCUUGCUGUGGCAGAACAAAAGAACACAACCAAAUACAAACGCUGUAGUGUUGAAACGAUGGAAGUGCCUAGGAGGAGCUUUCCUGACCUUACGAUGUCCCUGCAAGAGUGCGGGAUCCCACACAAGUCAGUGUUGUGCAUCCUACAGGAAGAGCAAGAUGGAGAUGUCUAAAUGUACAAUGAUUCUCACACAACUUCUGUCUCCCUUUAGCAUACAACUCUCUUGGAUGCCAUGGAUUUCCCUUUGAUGAGUGGUCUAAGAACUGAACCAGCCUGAUCUGUUUCAGUGGUCUACUUCUUAGUCUGCUGUCUUCCAAGCUCUUCCCUUGAAGUCAACUUGUAUAUAAAUAGUGUGCUGAAAUACUUCUUAUUUUAAAGUGAAUGUACCACUUCCCCAAAUGAAGUCUGAGUCAGAAUAAUACCUGGAACUGGGAAGAUACAAGCAGCACUAUUUAUUCCUAUUUUGAUUCCUUGAAGCUAUAUUAAUGAUCUUCAUAAUAAAGUAGCUUAUUAGCUGCAAGAACAGCUACAGUGGUCAAUACACAGAAAAUGGUCUCAAAGCAAUAACUCAAACUGAGUUUGUGAGAGUAAAUACAUUGCUGGGAGGUGUUAAAAGUAUAAAGUCAAGGGUAAAGUAUAUUCAAGAAUCAAACUAUUCCCAUAUAACCUCAGUGCCUCAAGAGUAUGACUGCUUUGUCUUCUCAUAAAAGGAAAGUCAUGGUUAAGGUGGUCUGAUUCCUGUAUGGAUACAAAGAGGACUUUUUAAAAAAAACUUGUUAGCUUUCUUUCUUCAUCAAGUGCAUAAGAUUGUGAUGCACACCUGUAAAUCAGGAAAUCCAGAGUUAAGGGUGGAUUGCUUGCUGUAACUUUGAAUUUCAGCACUGUUUGCUACAGCAAUUUAAUGUUCUUUUAAAGUGAACUGCAUUAACCUAAGCAACUCACUGUUGCUUUUGCGUUUUGGCUAAAUACAUACAGGAGGAGUUCUGGUGGGGCUGUUAUUUACCAAAUAGACUGUAAGUCAAACUGUUGUGCUAUUUUCUUUCUAUAGUUCAGACAAAUCAACCUGUUCGAGUAGAGUGGCUUGGUCCUGUCUUUCUGUAUUAAUGCAGCUGCUGUGCACGUGCUAAAAACCUCACAUUUUUUUAAGUGGAAAACCUUACUGUCCAUGUGCAGUAGCUGAGUUUGAACACCCUGUAUAAUAAGAGAAUGGGUCAGGUUACCUGACUGGACAGCUUGCCAAAUAAUAGGCUACUUUUGAGUAUUACAGUUGAAACAAAUUCAGUGUUUUUGCCUCACCGCAAUGGCCAAACCAACCUUUUGAAAAGGGUGGUUGAAUAUUUGUGCUUUACUGUGAUCACAUAUGCUGAAUUUCAGUCAAAAGCAAAUAUUUGUAGGCCAGCAAUUAAGCCCCAUAGAACAAGACAGCUGCUGAAAUACUAACACAUGAUGCUGCAAGUGGUGACACUGGUCUGUUGACUUCAAUAGCAGCAUUUAGAUGACUACACUAAGUUAGAAACAUUCUCAAUUGCCUUCGGGGGUACAGCUGUAUCAGAGCUUAGUUGUAAUCCUCAUUAGAAACCUAUUUGAGAACAUGGUAGAAAGAAUGUUUCACUAUGAAAAUUGCCAAGAGCAGUGGGAGGAAUGAACUGUAGGAUUCAUUUUUUACAUGGAAGAAUACAGCAUAUUCUUCUGUUAGUGAGAGAUGGCAGGUUCAAGUGGCAGAACUGAGUGUAGUGUUGUCGGCCAGCACACUGCAGCAUAGAAGAGCCCGCUAAUGCUAAAGAAUGCAAACCACCUCCAUAAGCGAAGCGUUCAGUUCUUUUUGAAUGAAUCUGUGCUAUUAACUGGUGGCUUCCUACCCUUUUAAAUACUUAGUUGUGAAAUGUGACCAAAGCGCUGUAAGAUGUUACCACAGCCAUUGCUUCCUCCGCUACAGGGAAGUCCAGCUGGUUUUCAAACCUUUUCCACUUUAAUGCACCUAUUCAAGUCACAUCUUGGCUAGGAUAAAGGGAAUAUAGGGAUAGUGUCCUGAAGAGCUUUGCUGUGAAAAAAUCAGUGAGCAACUUCACUGGAAACUAUAGUAUUGUUUCGGUAGCUACUGCAGGUUUUAUGGAUUGACACAAUCUCUUCCCCCACAGAUCAGCUAGUCACAUGACAUACAGGAAUAGGCUAAGGGAAGUGGGGAAAAAAAAAAAUCACAUUUAAGCUAUAAAACAAAUACCAGGUCAAGUACUGUCAGUUUACUGUUUGAGAUGUGUGUAUGAUGUUACAUUUAAACAAUGUUAAAUAAACUCUUUUCAGUGUGAACCUAAGACCAGCAAAGAUUUCCUGAGUGCAACUUGGAUUUGAAAUCAAGGGUUUACAUGAACUAGGUUUCACUCUGUCACAUUUCCUCAUACUUUUAACAGCAUGUUCAAUUAGUUGGUUAUAACACAUCUGGGCAGGAGUAAUAAUCAGCCUUUCUAGAGAAAGGAGUCAGACUUCCACAAUUCUACUCAUAC